ACUCCUUUUCCCCGCGUCGAGGUUCUGCGGGUUCCGUGGCCCGACCCCCGCUGCCCGUUGGACCCGAGGCCCCACCCCGCCUGGUCGCCGAGUGGAGAUAUUCGGGCGGCCGCAGCGGCUCCGGCUUGGUGUGUGCCUUGCCUAGUUUCACUUGAUACUCUUCAGGAAUUAUGUAGAAAAGAAAAACUCACAUGUAAGUCGAUUGGAAUCACCACAAGGAAUCUAAACAAUUAUGAGGUGGAAUACUUGUGUGACUACAAGGUAGUAAAGGAUAUGGAAUAUUAUCUUGUAAAAUGGAAAGGAUGGCCAGAUUCUACAAAUACUUGGGAACCUUUGCAAAAUCUCAAGUGUCCAUUACUACUUCAGCAGUUCUCUAAAGACAAGCAUAAUUAUUUAUCUCAGGUAAAGAAAGGCAAAGCAAUAACUCUAAAAGACAAUAACAAGGCUUUGAGGCCUGCCAUUGCCGAAUACAUUGUAAAGAAGGCUAAACAAAGGAUAGCUUUGCAGAGAUGGCAAGAUGAACUCAACAGAAGAAAGAAUCAUAAAGGAAUGAUUUUUGUUGAGAAUACUGUGGACUUGGAGGGCCCACCUUCAGACUUCUUCUACAUAAAUGAAUACAAACCAGCUCCUGGAAUCAGCUUAGUAAAUGAAGCUACUUUUGGCUGUUCAUGCACAGAUUGCUUCUUUGAGAAAUGUUGUCCUGCAGAAGCUGGAGUUCUUUUGGCUUAUAAUAAAAACCAACAAAUUAAAAUCCCACCUGGUACCCCCAUUUAUGAAUGCAACUCAAGGUGUCAGUGUGGGCCAGAUUGUCCUAAUAGGAUUGUACAAAAAGGCACACCAUAUUCACUGUGCAUCUUUCGAACUAGCAAUGGCUGUGGCUGGGGUGUAAAAACUCUUGUGAAGAUUAAAAGAAUGAGUUUUGUUAUGGAAUACGUUGGAGAGGUAAUCACAAGUGAAGAAGCUGAAAGGCGGGGGCAGUUAUAUGACAACAAAGGAAUCACUUAUCUCUUUGAUCUGGACUAUGAAUCUGAUGAAUUCACAGUAGAUGCAGCUCGCUAUGGAAAUGUGUCUCAUUUUGUGAAUCACAGUUGUGAUCCAAAUCUUCAAGUGUUCAAUGUUUUCAUUGAUAACCUCGAUACUCGUCUUCCCCGAAUAGCAUUAUUUUCCACAAGAACCAUAAGUGCUGGAGAAGAACUCACUUUUGAUUAUCAAAUGAAAGGUUCUGGAGAUAUAUCUUCAGAUUCUAUUGACCACAGCCCAGCCAAAAAGAGGGUCAGAACUGUGUGCAAAUGUGGAGCUGUGACUUGCAGAGGUUACCUCAACUGAAUUUUCAGGAAAUAGAACUGAUAUUUGUAAUUGUUUUUCUCUAAUGUUAAAUUUUUUUCCUAAUAUUUGGGAACUCUUUCAUAUUACCAAGAUUAUAUACUGUUAAUUACAAUUCCUGUUUUACACCAUUGGCCAAAUGACUAUCAGAUGCUUCUGAAGAGAGGAAUAUAAGGUCACAUAAAAUAAUCUGAAAUGAACAUAUAUUUGGUAUGAGAUACCAAACUUGAACCAAAACUACUUCCAGAUCAGUAUAUAUAUAUAUAUAUAUAUAUAUAUAUAUAUAUAUAUACACACACACACACACACUUAGGAAGCUUAUGUGAAUAGAGAUGCCUCCUUCAGUGUUUUAAGUGUUAAAAUGAUGUAACAGUUGCUAAGAUCAAACUUUGAACGUGCCAUAUACCUUGAUUUAGAGAAAUAGUUAAUUCAGUUUGGGCAAAUACUCAAGUUCUAUUUUUGUUACUGUGUUGUCAUUACUAUUUACCUAGUUCUCACUGUGCUUGUAUUUAAAACAAAUAAGUGAUACUAAAUUAUACUCUAUUUUAUACUUCAUCUAAAGAUCUCAGUGAUACAGGAAUUUAAGGUAUAAAAUUAAAUCUAAAAAACUUUAAUUACAGCUUGAUUUCAUGCUUUGGUUUGAUAUGAGGGGUAUAUGUAUGAGCCAGUAUUUCUAUAAGGUAAUUUUAACCCUGUAGAAAAAAAUCUCUAAAAAGCUUUCUAAAAUUCUGUAACAGCUGACCCUUGUUUCUUUGAAAGAUCAGGACAGUGGGACCAGAGGGGUUUCUGAGUGCCAGGUAGGGGAAAUGGAGCGCUUUAAGGGCCCCUCUUAAGAACAUGAAUUAGAAAACCCGUGUUGAGUAACUUUGGUCUAAAGAGUAAAACAAGAGUACCCUUGAGAGCAACUGUAGCUAAUUAUAAUUGUUUGGCACAGUACUUUAACUUUAUAUCUUCCUGAUUUCAGGCAGGUUUAACAUUUUCUUUAUACCAAAUUUAAUCAUUUUUAUAUUUCCUUGUAGACUCGUCUUUAAUAAGUAAUCUUUAUUUUGAAGUGAAAUUUUAUACAUGAACUUUUUAAAUGUGAUUAAGCUAAACUUGCCUUGGUCCAAGUGAAUUUUAAGUCCAUUUAUUACUUGAAAUAUACUGAAAUGGAAUAUAUUGUCUUUUUUUCUGAAUAGUAAAACUUCAAUCAGGAAAAACUGUUUUCAUCUCUUUUUCAUUCUGGGAUUUCUAAUCAUGAUGUCCAAUAUGAAGAAUACUUCCCACUGUGGUACUUCCACACCGGUCUUUUGCUGGUGACAUGUAGCAGAACUCAGAUCUCCUUGAGCUGAAGUUUUUCAGGCUGAUUUUGUGAUACUGCAGUCAUUGGAAAUACCUCAGGGUGCAGAGUUUGUUGGUUUAGAACCUUGUGCCUUAAAGGUACUGGCAGAGGAUCAUCAAAGAGAUCAUCUUCCUCCUCCUCUGCGGGACAAGUAAAACAGGUAUAUAAGAAACACAAAAUGCCGAGAGCCAAUUUUUGCUUUAAAAAGUAAAAAUUCAACUGGUAGCAUUUUAGCUAUUUUAAUACAUGGAACUGUAAAUAGAGAGAUCACUCUCUUAGGCUAUAUGGAAUAAUUUAACUACCAUCUUCAACUUAUAAUACCAGACUGUAAGUUGGGAGUAUAGAUUUGUAUUCCCCAAAUAAGACAAGGAUGACUAUAUCAGUGAUUUUUGUUAGACCUAGCUAAACAUUAGAAUCAUCUAGAGAACUUUUUAAAAACUACAGCUUUCUACAUCCCAUUUCAGGUCCACUGAAUACCUAAAAGUGAGACCUAGUAAUUUUUUUCAUCAGCUAGGUUUGUGAGUCAUCUAGACUAGAAGGUUUGCAAAUUAUGUGCUCUGCAAAUAGCUCAAUGAUUUGGGUCAUGUAAUAUUUAAUUUCUAUACAUAUUUUGAUUCCUACUUUGUGCAUGUUAGGGGUUGAAUGUUUGUAUCCUAUCAAAAUCAUAAUUUGAAGCCCUGAUCCCAGUGUAAUGAUUUUGGGAUUAUAUGGGAUCUGUGGGAAAGUAUUGGGUUCGGAUGAGAUCAUGAAGGUCGGAAUCUCAUUAUGGGAUUGCUGUCCUUGUAAGAAAAGGAAGACAUUUCUCCAUCAAGUGCACAAAGGACAUACAUAGCACAUACAUACCUUCUUACUAAAACCAGGAAACAAAAUCUGCUGGCACCUUGCUCUUGGAAAUCCCAGCCUCCAAAACUGAGAUGUAGGUGUUAGUAAGUCAUCUGGUCUCUGUGAUUUGUUAGAGCAGCCAGAGCUAAGUACUCAACACUAUGAUAAAUACUGAGUAGAUAUAUGGAGUAGAAUAUCUUUAACCAAAAUACUGAAUAGCCACUUUGUGUUCAAGAAAAAUAGAUAUUAGUUAGCCCAGUCCACUUAAAUUCUUCCAAUAAGGAUCCUUACUCUGAGUAUGAAAUUACCAUAAUGAAAAGGCACAUAAUUGAGGAAGGAACAUAUUUUCCUAUCCUUUUAUAGCACCUAAGCUAAGGAUGAAAGUAAAUGCUCAUGAAGUUACUAUAUAUGUGGCAGCUUUCUUUUUUAAAGCUGAUAACUUUUUUAAAAAACUAGAUAGAUGUGGUUCCUGGCUUUUUAGAGUAUAGUAUAAUUGUUUAAAUAAGCAACUAUUCAUCCCAUUCUAAAGCACUUAAGGAGACUAAGAUGUCUGGCUACAAUAUUUGGGAUCAUCCUAAUCCCCAGCAUAUGCCUUGAACUCAUGAAUUACUAGUUUUACAAGAUUAACUUGUUAUUUUUUGUAUCAUUUCUAAGUUGAAUAGUUCCAUGUUCUUCUGGAUUCAUGACCAUCAAUAUCAUGGUAUGUUUUAACCUGUCAACAUUUUCACAUUACUUCACCUAUAUGUAUCUGAAAAACAAGUUUCUGUACUAUUAGUUUAUUGACAUUCUGACAUGUAUUCUAUUAUAACCAUAUAAACAUUUAAUACCUCUCAUAACAAUGAGAAAAUAAUGUAAUAAAUAUGAAGGCACUGAAAUUUUUAAUAACAUUUACACAAUCUGAUAAGUAUACUUCCAAUCCAAAAUGUAUUCAAAUUUGGAAGUUUGUCUAUUUCCUAAAUGUUAAGACAGACUUAUCAUGUUAUAUACUAAAUAUGUUCUACCCUUCCCACCAAAAUCCUCUGUUGAAACUCUAACCUCCAGUAUAGCCAUAUCUAGAGAUGUACCUCUAGGAACAUAAGGUCGUAAGGGCACGACCUUGAUCUGAUAGGAUUAGUGUCCUCUUGAGAAUAGACAUCAGCAAGCACUCUACAACCACCCCCAGGCACAUGCACCCAAGAAAGGUACUGUGAGCACAUAGCAAUAUGGCAGCUAGCCAAAAGAAUUCUCAAAAUAAAACUGUGUUAUAAGAACACUGAUCUUGGAAUUUCCAGCAUUCAGAAAUGUGGGGAGUAAAUUUCUAUUGUUUAAGCCAUUACCCUGGAUAUUUUGUUAUAGCAAGCCAAAUAAAAUAAGACACUACAGGACCCAGAAAUUCUGCUCCUUUGUUUUCACCCCAAAAGAAAGAAAAUGUGUCCACACACAGAUUUAUAUGCAGAUAUUCGUAACAUCAUCAUUUACAACUAAAAAGUAGAAACCACCCAAAAGUUCAACCAUUAAAUAGGUAAAUGUGGUGUACUCAUACAAUGGAAUAUUAUUUGAUAAUAAAAAGGAAUGAAGUACUGAUAUAUACUACAAGGAUGAACUAUUAAAAUACAAUGCAAAGUGAAAACCAGGCACGAAAGAUCCAUGUUGAAUGAGCCCAGUUACAUAAAUGUUCAGAAGAGGCAAUUCUUAUACAGAUAGAUCAUAAUCAGUGGUUGCCAAAGGCUGGAGGUAGUAAUGGCAGAGUUUCUUCAUGGAGUAAUAAAAAUGUUCUGAGAUUAGUGGUGAUAGUUGUGGAAAUCUGCUAUUGUAAAAAUCAGGGACAUGUUCACCUAAAGGUAUAUAUGGUAUAUAAAUUAUAUUUCAAUAAAGCUUUAAAAAACUGAGUUCAAUGUAAAAUUUUGUAAGAUAGAAGUAAAAUGUACAAUAGCACAAAAACUGGGAGAGGGUGAAAUGAAAGUACACUAUUACAGACUUCUUAUAGCAUACCUAUAGUAGGUAUGCCCUGAGGUGUUAAAUUUAUGUCUACUACAAACCACUAAAAUGUUACAACCAAUAAGCUGAGAUUAAAUGAGAUCAAACAACUUUAUCAAGAGGAAGCAUAAGAGGGAAGAAAUGAACAGAUGAAAAAAGAGCAAUAUAAUUAAUGAAAACUAUACAUAUCAAUAACAUUAAACCUAAAUGAUCUACGCACUACAAUUAAAAGGCAUAAAUUAUCAGAUUGGCUAUAAAAAACAAAGCCCAACAAUAUGUUGCUUAUAAGAAGCCUACUUUAGGGGCCGCCCUGGUGGCCUAAGUGUUAAGUCUCAGCACUAUCACACUAUGGCCUGCGUUCAAUCCCCAGCCAGGGAGCUAACCCAUAUAUGGUGCAGCAGAUCUCUCCUGUCUCACCUGCUGCUCCCCUUAGCAGUGUGUUUCAGUAAACCUGCCUGUUCUGCUCCCCACUGUCUUGGUGAAUUCUAUCACCCCCUGCACCUCUGACCUACACUCCAGUUCUUCUACACACACACACAAAAAUAAGAAACCUACUUUAAAUGUAAGACAAAAAAUUAAAAAUAGCAAAAAGAAAUAUUCUUAACACUAAACUGAAGAAACUGUAGUACCUCUAUUAGUAUUUGAUCUAGUAGAUUUCAGAGCUAAAAAUACUACCAGGGAUAAUAAAGAGUUAUUUUUUAGAAAUGAAGUCAAAAGACUGUAACCCAAAACCCGUUAGUAAUAGUGCUUCAAAGAUGAAGCAGAGAAUUCCAAGGGGAAAUAGGCAAAUCUACAAUUUUAACUGGGGAUUUCAACAACCGUCAAUAAGUAAUAGAGGGUAAGUAAAUCAAGGAUAUCAAAAGCCAGAACAUUAUCAAUGAAAUUGAUCUAAUUGUUAUUUAAAGGCCAUUUCAUUCAACAGCAGUAUGCUAACCAUAUCAAUAAAACAUCUUUCAAGUAUACAUGAAACAGUAAACAAGAUGGACAAUUAUUCUGGACCAUAGAUCUCAGUGAAAAUACAUAGUAUUCUGGCAGCUCUUGUCCCAAGAUUCUCCACCUGUAUCAAUGCAGGUGUCUCUUUUUUUUUUCUUUUUCUAAUAAACCUAUCCUUUUAAAAUGUAAAAAAAAUACAAAGUAUUUUGACCAUGAAUUUUUUUUUUUAAUACACAAUAAAAUUUAGGUAACAGUGAUCUCAGGAAAAUCUUCCAGAAUUCAGAAACACUUCUAAAUAACCCAUGCAUAUCAAAAAAGAAAUUAAAAGAAAAAUCAGAAAAUAUUUUGAACUGAAUGCAAGUGGAAACAAGUCAAAUUUGGGGAAUGUAAGGAGGGAAACUCAGCACCAAAUGCCUGAAUUAGGGGGAAAAGGUCUCAAAUUUAUGAGCUCAACUCCCACGUUAAGAAAUUUUAAAAUGAAUAGCAAAUUAAACCCAGAAUAAGCAGUGAAAGUUCAGAGUGACAGACAAUGAGGUAGAAAACAAAACCAAAACAACAACAAAAAGUUGGUUCUUUGAGAUCAAUAUAAUUGGCAAGCCUCUAAUCAUAGGACUGAUCAAGAAAAAAAAUAGUAAAGACUUGUAUCAGGAGUGAAAGUUUAUCACUAGAUUCUGCAGAUGUUAAAAGGAUCAAGGAAACAUAACGAGCAAGUUUAUUCCAAAAUAAUGCUUUUGUAAUUUUAAACCUUUCCACAGAAAACUGACCCAGGUGGCUUCCCUGGCAAUUCUACCAAUCAUUUGAGAUAGAUAUAAUGCAGAACCAAAAAAGAUAAUGCAAGAGAUAAAAAAGAAUUCAGAACACUAUCCCUCCUGAAAAUAGAUAAAUUCUUAACACAAUUUUAGCAAAUCAAAUUGAAUAACAUCUGAAAAGGAAUAUGUCACAACCACAUGGGAUUUGCUCCAGAAAUACAAGAUUGACUUAAUACUUAGGCAAUCAGU